rnacentral:rRNA from 1 species
CGGCACGGGUGAGUAACACGUAUCCAACCUGCCGUCUACUCUUGGCCAGCUCUGAAGGAAGAUAUCCAGGAUGGCAUCAUGAGUUCACAUGUCCGCAUGAUUAAAGGUAUUUUCCGGUAGACGAUGGGGAUGCGUUCCAUUAGAUAGUAGGCGGGGUAACGGCCCACCUAGUCAACGAUGGAUAGGGGUUCUGAGAGGAAGGUCCCCCACAUUGGAACUGAGACACGGUCCAA